AAUGAACGCUGGCGGCGCGCCUAAUACAUGCAAGUCGAGCGAGAAGACGUAGCAAUACGUUUGUAAAGCGGCGAACGGGUGAGGAAUACAUGGGUAACCUACCCUCGAGUGGGGAAUAACUAGCCGAAAGGUUAGCUAAUACCGCGUACGCUCCUUGGACUUCGGUUCAGGGAGGGAAAGCGAUACCGUGGGUAUCGCGCUCUUGGAUGGGCUCAUGUCCUAUCAGCUUGUUGGUGAGGUAACGGCUCACCAAGGCUUCGACGGGUAGCUGGUCUGAGAGGACGAUCAGCCACACUGGCACUGCGACACGGGCCAGACUCCUACGGGAGGCAGCAGUAAGGAAUAUUGCGCAAUGGGCGAAAGCCUGACGCAGCGACGCCGC
rnacentral:rRNA from 1 species